AAACAACUGCCACCGGGUAGUUUAUGCCAAAAGCAUUCGUACGCACAUCGUUAGGUCUUAGAAGAUGUGCAGAGCGGGUGCUUGUUUUUU
rnacentral:ncRNA from 1 species